rnacentral:rRNA from 1 species
GACGAACGCUGGCGGCGUGCUUAACACAUGCAAGUCGAACGGAAAGGCCCUGCUUUUGUGGGGUGCUCGAGUGGCGAACGGGUGAGUAACACGUGAGUAACCUGCCCUUGACUUUGGGAUAACUUCAGGAAACUGGGGCUAAUACCGGAUAGGAGCUCCUGCUGCAUGGUGGGGGUUGGAAAGUUUCGGCGGUUGGGGAUGGACUCGCGGCUUAUCAGCUUGUUGGUGGGGUAGUGGCUUACCAAGGCUUUGAUGGGUAGCCGGCCUGAGAGGGUGACCGGCCACAUUGGGACUGAGAUACGGCCCAGACUCCUACGGGAGGCAGCAGUGGGGAAUAUUGCACAAUGGGCGGAAGCCUGAUGCAGCAACGCCGCGUGCGGGAUGACGGCCUUCGGGUUGUAAACCGCUUUCGCCUGUGACGAAGCGUGGGUGACGGUAAUGGGUAAAGAAGCACCGGCUAACUACGUG